GAUGAAGAACGUAGCGAAAUGCGAUAAGUAAUGCGAAUUGCAGAAUUUCCGUGAGUCAUCGAAUCUUUGAACGCACAUUGCGCCCCCUGGCAUUCCGGGGGGCAUGCCUGUCCGAGCGUCAUUUCUGCCCUCAAGCACGGCUUGUGUGUUGGGUGUGGUCCCCCCGGGGACCUGCCCGAAAGGCAGCGGCGACGUCCGUCUGGUCCUCGAGCGUAUGGGGCUCUGUCACUCGCUCGGGAAGGACCUGCGGGGGUUGGUCACCACUAUAUUUUACCACGGUUGACCUCGGAUCAGGUAGGAGUUACCCGCUGAACUUAAGCAUAUCAAUAAGCGGAGGA
rnacentral:misc_RNA from 1 species